GAACCAGAGACAGCGGGCACCCAGGGAUGAAGCCAGCCACAUGAAGAGCAACAGGCAGACAGAGGAAAAAGCAAAAAGAGACUGAAAGGAAGGAAAGCUCUUUUCUCUUUGCUCCAGUUCAGCUUCAGUAAAGGCUGCCGGGCCCCAGUUUGUGAUGAGGUGUGGAUUCUUGGAGCCUGAAAGACAGAGUGCAUUGAAACAAGAGUUUCUGACAGUACCACCACUCCCACAGCAGCAGGGCAGUCUUGGGAUGAUUCGGUCAGUGCUCCAUGGUUGGGAGCCGUCCCAAAGGCAGCCCAAGGAGCCACCUAACUGCAGCAGGAGGAAUGCCUGGGACACAGCAAAAGUGCUUCAAGGGAGUGGUUCCCAGCUGCAGUCUCAGCCUAAACAUCCAAGAGAAGAUCCUACUCAGACCAGCAGUUCUGACAAUGUAGUAUUUAUAGGCUGUAGAGAAGCCAGUAAGCUACAAGAGAAGGUGGCCUUGAAUACACAGCUGGUUGAUGCACAUACAGGCAGAGUCGACACCUCUCCAGCCCUACGAAGUACAGAGAAAUACAGUCUCAGCACUCUCGGAUUCUGAGAAAUACUUCACAUUUCUUCUAUGAGUACAGCUACUGGCCUAAAUAAAAAAAUGCUCAGCAAAACAGAGAACAGGUCUGGCAUUUGGGAGACCAGGCACUGCUACACAUUAGAGGAUCUCGAGUCAUUCCUUGCCAUUCUCGAUAUCAA